rnacentral:rRNA from 1 species
ACAUGAAGUUGGAAUUGCUAGUAAUCGCGGAUCAGCAUGCCGCGGUGAAUACGUUCCCGGGCCUUGUACACACCGCCCGUCACACCAUGGGAGUUUGUAACACCCGAAGUCAGUGUCCCAACCGCAAGGAGGGAGCUGCCGAAGGUGGGAUAAGCGACUGGGGUGAAGUCGUAACAAGGUAAC